rnacentral:rRNA from 1 species
GGCGGGGUAACGGCCCACCAAGGCAUCGAUGGAUAGGGGUUCUGAGAGGAAGGUCCCCCACAUUGGAACUGAGACACGGUCCAAACUCCUACGGGAGGCAGCAGUGAGGAAUAUUGGUCAAUGGGCGCUAGCCUGAACCAGCCAAGUAGCGUGAAGGAUGACUGCCCUAUGGGUUGUAAACUUCUUUUAUAUGGGAAUAAAGUGCAGUAUGUAUACUGCUUUGCAUGUACCUUAUGAAUAAGGAUCGGCUAACUCCGUGCCAGCAGCCGCGGUAAUACGGAGGAUCCGAGCGUUAUCCGGAUUUAUUGGGUUUAAAGGGAGCGUAGGCGGGUUGUUAAGUCAGUUGUGAAAGUUUGCGGCUCAACCGUAAAAUUGCAGUUGAUACUGGCAUCCUUGAGUACAGUAGAGGUAGGCGGAAUUCGUGGUGUAGCGGUGAAAUGCUUAGAUAUCACGAAGAACUCCGAUUGCGAAGGCAGCCUGCUGGACUGUAACUGACGCUGAUGCUCGAAAGUGUGGGUAUCAAACAGGAUUAGAUACCCUGGUAGUCCACACAGUAAACGAUGAAUACUCGCUGUUUGCGAUAUACAGUAA